CGGGCAAACGUCUCCUGAGCUUACUAAGUAUAGUACGCUUGCUUGUCUGCGUAAUCGUUGCUCCAGUAGAAAGAAUGUUUAUUUUACCAGCAAUAUUUGUCGUAGCCCAACUCUGAUGUCUGGCCUGAAAUCAUAAACAGAAAGAAAACUGGUGAAAACUAAAAAGAGAAAAACUGUGACAGUAACUGAGGUAGAUUCUUCGUCGGUCUCAACGACGAACAUUAAACUGUGCUAUUGGCUGAAUUUCUAAUUAUGAAACUAACGUUUAAGCAGAUGUUCAUUCCACAAACAGAGUGAGAGAGAAACAGCCAGUGCUGGAUUGAAUCCAAUUUGAGACAAUUACUUAAUCCUCCUUCAACCUUAACUGACACUCAGUCGAUUACGAUGACGAGGGUUUCAGUUGAUCCAAUCAACGGAACAGCCUGCUCGUAAAAUUAACGUGCAAGUGGCUGAGCACUCCACAGACACGUGUUCACUUAAUGUGGUUCUUAAGGAAAUUCAGUGUGAUACAGCAUCAAUUUUGCUAGCUGAGUAGACUGGAGAAACGUGAAAUAAUGUGUCUUGCACAAAGAUGCAACGCACCGCCAGGAAUCGAACCCUAACCACUGAGUCGGGCACCUUUAUCCCCUACAAAAGGAUGAAAGGCAAAGUUGACAUCGGUGGUAUUCAAAUUCAGUGGGCAGAGAGCAGAAACAAAUACCGUAAGGCAUUCUAUCCAACUUGGCGAAGAGUCUCAUCUGCAGCCUUUAAGAGUAGUUAUGAUGGCAACGGUAACAGUGAAGGUAUUAUUUGUUUCUAGCGCCGAGGGUGGCUUUGCCUUUCAUCCUUUCGGGGUCGAUGAAAUAAGUACCAGUUACGCACUGGAGUCGAUGUAAUCAACUAGCUCCCUUUCCCCGAAAAAUUUUCAAGGCCUUGUGUUGUGUGUGUGUUGGCACUCCGUCGCUUACGGCGUCGAGGGUUCCAGUCGAUCCGAUCAACGGAACAGCCUGCUCGUGAAGUUAACGUGCAAGUGGCUGAGCACUCCACAGACACGUGUACCCUUAACGUAGUUCUAGGGGACAGUGUGACAAGGCUGACCCUUUGGAUUACAAGCACAACAGAAACAGGAAGUAAGAGUGAGAGAAAGUUGUGGUGGAAGAGUACAGCAGGGUUCACCACCAUCCCCUGGCGGAUCCUCGUGGAGCUUUAGGUGUUUUCGCUCAAUAACCACUCACAACGCCCGGUCUGGGAAUCGAAACCGCGAUCCUAUGACCGGGAGUCCGCUGCCCUAACCACUGGGCCAUUGCGCCUCCACUCAAGGCCUUGUACCAAGAGUAGAAAUAGUUAUUUGUUUCUAGCAUAAGCACCAAGGGAAGCGUUGAAAGGAUAGUUGACCGACGGGAUUUGAGCUCAGAACGUAAAGCUCCAGAAAAAAUCCCGUAAAACAUUUUAUCUGACUCUCUUUCGAUUCUCCCCAUCCACCGCCCUUCGUAAUGGUAAUAAGGAUGAAUGAUAAUGAUAACUAAAGAGUCAGUUUUUACAGUUUGAGAGAAGAAUAUAAAUAAUCCUUUCUACUCCAGGCACAAAGCCUGAAAUUUCGGAGGAGGGUGACAGCCGAUUAGAUCAACCCCAGUACACGACUGGUACUUAAUUUAUUGACCCCGAAAGGAUGAAAGGCAAAGUCGAAGUCAGCGGAAUUUGAACUCAGAAUGUAGCGAUUCUGCCAACUCGCCUCUUUGUAAAGAAUAUGAAUAAUGAUUUCUAACUUUAAUAUAAAAUCAAAAUAUUUUAGGAAAGAAGUUAAAUCGAUUAAAUCGGCGCUGGUAGUCAAAUGGUGUAUCUUUUGGCGAUAGCAGGAAGAUAAGGGCAGUAAGACAUGCACUGAGGACGUGAAGAAACGUAACUAAACACUAUGGUAAUUGACUCGAUAUUAGUAUUUUCGCUUGGCUCCAGGCCGCCUAUUUAUAAGGUCAGUGAGAUAGAUUAUGCAUGUCUUUCUGGCUUGUAAUAAGUUUGAUAUAUUUUUGACCGGUAAACGAAACAGCAUUCUGAAUAAGAUGCGUGAUGAAUAAACAUACUGUGUUACUAUUUCAUAUAAUCUACAUAUAUAGGCGCAGACCUGAUUGCGUGGAAAGAAGUUCGCUUCCCAACCAUGUGACUUCAGGUUCAGCUCCACUGCGCGGCACGUUGUGCAAGUAUCUUGCACUACAGCCUUGUGAGUGGAUUUGGUAGACGAAAACUGAAAGAAGCCUGUCGUAGAUAGAUAGAUAGAUAGGUGCGUGCAUGCAUCUUUGUGUUUACCCCCCAUCACUGCUUAACAACCGAUGAUGGUUUGUUUACGCCCUUGUAACUUACUGUUUCUGCAGAAAAAGAUCGAUAGAAUAAGUAGCAAGCUUAAAAAUAAGUACUGGCGUAGAUUCGUUGGACUAAACCCUUCAAAGCAGUGCUCCAGCAAGACUGCAACAAAAAGUAUGUGUGUAUAAUAAAGUUUGCAUCAACAAUAAUUGCUUCUAAAUAGGUACGAAGUCAGAAAUUUUGACGGGUUGGAUUUUUCCGUAACAUCGACUCCAAUAUGUGACUGGUACUUUAUUUUGGCGGCACCUGAAGGAUGAAAAGAAAAGUUAACCUCGGUCGGAUUUGAACUCAGAAUGUAAAGAGCUAAAACAAAUACCCAACAACGAAUUUGCCAAACCACCGCCUUUAUUGAACAACAUUAAUAAAAAUAAGCAUAAAGAAGAUAGUCACAGUCGAAGAAAAUGGAUUGUGAUGUGUGCCUUAUUUACUUGUAGCUUCUUUCUUUUCAUUUUAAGCUUUACUUGUCUGAACAUGUCUCUGUGAGUACUAUUAAUGCUGUUUCCUUGACAAAUACAAACACUUUUAGCAAAUAUUUGAUACAUACACAAACAUAAAUGCAUGUAUAUGCAUGCAUACACAUAUGUGUAUGUAGCUGUCGCUUUUUCUCUCGCCCACCAUGUAUAGAGUUUACAUUCUUCUAUCCACGCUUCAUUAAAAAUGUUAUUUACA